UGAAAAGAACGUAUCAUCUUUUAGACAUUUUGAUUGGUACAUGGCAUUGAUACUGACAGUGAAGUGUCAAUGUGCCUCACUAUAAAAAGCAUAUGUAAUUGUAAGGUGUAAAUUACUCCUUGCAUCUGCUUCAAUCUAAGAUGCACCAAUGUCACUUUUUUGUAUUUGGGUUUCAAUUUGGGCCUGUUUCGGUUUCGGUUUGGGCCUGCAUUGUCAUAAAUUGGAAGAGAAGCAAGGUCCACACUAACUAAAAGCAGGACAUGUUAUGACAGUGUGACCC
rnacentral:lncRNA from 1 species